AUUGAACGCUGGCGGCAGGCCUAACACAUGCAAGUCGAGCGAGCGGCGGACGGGUGAGUAAUGUAUGGGGAACUGCCUGAUGGAGGGGGAUAACUACUGGAAACGGUAGCUAAUACCGCAUACCAUCAGAUGAACCCAUAUGGGAUUAGCUAGUAGGUGGGGUAAAGGCUCACCUAGGCGACGAUCUCUAGCUGGUCUGAGAGGAUGACCGGCCACACUGGUACUGAGACACGGCCCAGACUCCUACGGGAGGCAGCAGUGGGGAAUAUUGCACAAUGGGCGCAAGCCUGAUGCAGCCAUGCCGCGUGUAUGAAGAAGGCCUUCGGGUUGUAAAGUACUUUCAGCGGGGAGGCGUUACCCGCAGAAGAAGCACCGGCUAACUCCGUGCCAGCAGCCGCGGUAAUAC
rnacentral:rRNA from 1 species